rnacentral:rRNA from 1 species
CAGUGUAGAAUCCUGCCUAUCAGAAUGACUAGAGAA